GACGUAGGGUGCAAGCGUUGUCCGGAAUUAUUGGGCGUAAAGAGUUCGUAGACGGUUAUUUAAGUCUGGUGUUAAAGACGGGAGCUCAACUCCCGCAUGGCAUUGGAAACUGGAUAGCUAGAGUACGGUAGAGGUCUCGGGAAUUCCAGGUGUAGCGGUGAAAUGCGUAGAUAUCUGGAGGAACACCGGUGGCGAAAGCGCGAGACUGGGCCGUAACUGACGCUGAGGAACGAAAGCCAGGGUAGCCAAAGGG
rnacentral:rRNA from 1 species